rnacentral:misc_RNA from 1 species
GUGGGACAGCCGAUGUAUAUUU